GCGAGUGUGGCGAAAUUGGUAGACGCACCAGACUUAGGAUUUGGCGAUUAUUGCAAUCGUGUCGGUUCGAGCCCGACCACUCGCACCA
rnacentral:tRNA from 1 species